UACGUAGGGUGCGAGCGUUAAUCGGAAUUACUGGGCGUAAAGCGUGCGCAGGCGGUUUUGUAAGUCAGAUGUGAAAUCCCCGGGCUUAACCUGGGAACUGCGUUUGAAACUACAAGGCUAGAGUGUGGCAGAGGGGGGUGGAAUUCCACGUGUAGCGGUGAAAUGCGUAGAGAUGUGGAGGAACACCGAUGGCGAAGGCAGCCUUCUGGGCCAACACUGACGCUCAUGCACGAAAGCGUGGGGAGCAAACAGG
rnacentral:rRNA from 1 species